rnacentral:rRNA from 1 species
UGCAGUCGAGGGGUAUAUUUCUUCGGAGAUAGAGACCGGCGCACGGGUGCGUAACGCGUAUGCAAUCUGCCUUUCACAGAGGGAUAGCCCAGAGAAAUUUGGAUUAAUACCUCAUAGUAUAAUCAAACCGCAUGGUUUAAUUAUUAAAGUCACAACGGUGAAAGAUGAGCAUGCGUCCCAUUAGCUAGUUGGUAAGGUAACGGCUUACCAAGGCGACGAUGGGUAGGGGUCCUGAGAGGGAGAUCCCCCACACUGGUACUGAGACACGGACCAGACUCCUACGGGAGGCAGCAGUGAGGAAUAUUGGACAAUGGGCGCAAGCCUGAUCCAGCCAUGCCGCGUGCAGGAUGACGGUCCUAUGGAUUGUAAACUGCUUUUGUACGAGAAGAAACACUCCUAUGUAUAGGAGCUUGACGGUAUCGUAAGAAUAAGGAUCGGCUAACUCCGUGCCAGCAGCCGCGGUAAUACGGAGGAUCCAAGCGUUAUCCGGAAUCAUUGGGUUUAAAGGGUCCGUAGGCGGUUUAGUAAGUCAGUGGUGAAAGCCCAUCGCUCAACGGUGGAACGGCCAUUGAUACCGCUGAACUUGAAUUAUUAGGAAGUAACUAGAAUAUGUAGUGUAGCGGUGAAAUGCUUAGAGAUUACAUGGAAUGCCAAUUGCGAAGGCAGGUUACUACUAAUGGAUUGACGCUGAUGGACGAAAGCGUGGGUAGCGAACAGGAUUAGAUACCCUGGUAGUCCACGCCGUAAACGAUGGAUACUAGCUGUUGGGAGCAAUUUCAGUGGCUAAGCGAAAGUGAUAAGUAUCCCACCUGGGGAGUACGUUCGCAAGAAUGAAAACUCAAAGGAAUUGACGGGGGCCCGCACAAGCGGUGGAGCAUG